UACGGAGGGUGCAAGCGUUAUCCGGAUUUAUUGGGCGUAAAGAGCGUGUAGGCGGCCAGGUAGGUCCGUUGUGAAAACUCGAGGCUCAACCUCGAGACGUCGAUGGAAACCAUCUGGCUAGAGUCCGGAAGAGGAGAGUGGAAUUCCUGGUGUAGCGGUGAAAUGCGCAGAUAUCAGGAAGAACACCUAUGGCGAAGGCAGCUCUCUGGGACGGUACUGACGCUGAGACGCGAAAGCGUGGGGAGCGAACAGG
rnacentral:rRNA from 1 species